rnacentral:ncRNA from 1 species
UCCAUCACGAGGUGGAAUCUGAAGGAAGCUCGAGGCAAACUUCCGACUCGAGGAACACGAACAUCAUCAGGCACAAAGCAUGGGACGAGCUUGCUACACAAAGCGAAGUCCAAUACACUAUCCGAACAUGCCAGUGUAAAUGGGUUAUUGAUUCGUUAACAACGUUUCGCCC